rnacentral:rRNA from 1 species
AACUGUUUAGUGGCGGACGGGUGAGUAACGCGUGGGCAACCUGCCCUGUACAGGGGGACAACACUUAGAAAUAGGUGCUAAUACCGCAUAACGGGGGGAGCCGCAUGGCACCCCCCUGAAAACUCCGGUGGUACAGGAUGGGCCCGCGUCUGAUUAGCUGGUUGGCAGGGUAACGGCCUACCAAGGCGACGAUCAGUAGCCGGCCUGAGAGGGCGGACGGCCACACUGGGACUGAGACACGGCCCAGACUCCUACGGAAGGCAGCAG